rnacentral:rRNA from 1 species
GAUGAACGCUGGCGGCGUGCCUAAUACAUGCAAGUCGAGCGAACGGACGAGAAGCUUGCUUUUCUGAUGUUAGCGGCGGACGGGUGAGUAACACGUGGAUAACCUACCUAUAAGACUGGGAUAACUUCGGGAAACCGGAGCUAAUACCGGAUAAUAUUUUGAACCGCAUGGUUCAAAAGUGAAAGACGGUCUUGCUGUCACUUAUAGAUGGAUCCGCGCUGCAUUAGCUAGUUGGUAAGGUAACGGCUUACCAAGGCAACGAUGCAUAGCCGACCUGAGAGGUGGACCGCCCCCACUGGAACUGAGCCCCGGCCCAGACUCCUCCGGGAGCCAGCAGUAGGGAUUCCCGCCAAAGGGGGGAAAGCCGGCCGGAGCCCCGCCGGGUGGGUGAUGAUGGUCUUCGUGUCUUAAACCUCUGUUAUUGGGAAAAAAAAUUGGUGAAAGAAAUGGUGCCCACCUGGCCGGCACUAAACAAGAAGGCCCGGACUACCUCCGUC